CAGGAUUCGCAAGACUCCUACAACCCUGUGAACCUACUAUACGAACGUUGCUUCGGCGGGUGCGCCCCGGGGAUUCGUUCCCGCGGCGCGUCAGCCCGCCGGCAGCCUACAAAUUCUGUUUCUUUGCGUUGGCAUCUCGAGAAAAACAAAAUAAGUUA
rnacentral:misc_RNA from 1 species